GCUUUCCUAAUUGAAUCUUCAUUUCAGAUUACAUACCACUUCUUCCACUGGAAGAAGGGAACUCCAUUCGCUGAUGAUCAAGGGAUGUAUAAUAGGUUGACUUGGUGGGAGCAAAUGGACAACGGCAAGCAGCUUACUCGCAACAAAAAAAUUCUUGUUGUGGUUCCUGUAGUCCUCUAA
rnacentral:rRNA from 1 species